GCUGCGCGCGCGGGCGGGAGCCGAGCCUCCGGGAGCGGCGGCCCGAGAGCCGGAGCCCGGCGGGAGGGGGGGAGGGCUGCGCAGGGCCGCGGUGCGCCCGCGCGUCCCGAGAGCGGCCCUCCCUGCGGCGGGAGGUGUGCGCGCCCUCCGUCUCCCGACCGACGCGCGGACUGUCGCAGCCGAAGAGCUGUCAUUUCAGCCCCGGGAUUCCGACGAGUGGACCCGGUCCCCCGCGGAGGGGCACCUCUCAUCCCCGAGCUGCUGCGUGUCUCCGACUUGGCAGCAAUACUAGUUUUUCUCCGGGAGGCUGCAAUUAACAUCUUAUUUGUUCCGGCCAGAUACAGGCUUUGUCAGGACCGCGGUGCGGCGACCGAGUUGGCUGACAAGUAUUUGAUGAACUAGUUUCAGACACAUGCUGCGAAAGGUCAUUCGCCUACUGACUAUGUCCCUACUUGUAAACGCAGUUGGAGGUUUGCAAAACAGGUGUAAAAUAUUGCGAUGAUGUGGUGGGAGGAGACCGAAAUAGGUGAUUCAUAUAAAGUGUCGGACUCUUCCUAAGGGCUACUGACCUGGCCUGAAGAUGAUCCUGCUGGGGUAUAUUUAUAGAAGGUGAUUGUGGAUGAUAAAUAUGCCAAGCAAGACACCAUCUCCAGUAACCCCAGGCUCGUCUGACUUCCUCAGGGGGUCAUAAUCAAGAACCACAAGAAGAACUAUAUAUGGAGAAUCUGGUCUGUGGACCCUGACUACAGCACAAUCCAAAGGCCAAGGAAGGAAGAACCACAGCGAUUCAUGUCUGCACCGUGAUUCGCAUGAAAGCACUGCUGGCACAUUGACCCACCAACAGAAAGAGCAGCAGUUACACCCUGCAGGCAAUCUGUGUCCUCUCCUCCCUAUUGAGAUCGGUCUGUCUUCAUGUUUUAAUACACUGUAAAAUCACCAUUUCAAAUGACAAUGAUCAGCUUUCAUUGGCCUCUUUCGCAAGUCUGUGUGUAUGUCUAUGUAUGUAUACAAAUGCAUAUAUAUAUAUAUAUAUAUACACACACACUUAUUUUACAUAUACACACAUUAUAUAUAUGAUACCUACACCUAUAUAUAUAAAUAAAAGUACAUAUACAUAUAUUUAAAUUGCUACAUGUGUUUGGGAGGACGGUUUCACUAUGUUGCUUAAUAUUUCUCUUAAUAAAAUGAAGUAUUCUCAUGCCAGCAUUGCCCAAUUAAUUGUAUAAGCUAAUUUUCAUCCAUGUUCCUUGCCAACUUUUGAAAGGACUAUUGAGUGUUAACACAUCAAAUACAGACUUGUAUUUUCAACUGGCCCCGUAGUAUGUGAAGUGAAAGUCUUUCAAAUCUCUCUCCUAUUAUGUAUACAUUUUUAUUAAGAUUACUUUAGAGAAAUGAGGUUUCUAAGUGUAAUUUAUCUCUGUUAGGUUGCCUUUUUUUCUUGCUAAGUUUAGUCCUUCUACAUUUGAAAAUGACCCCAUCCUUCAAAAUCGUUGUAUAAAAUUCACCUAUCACCUGCAUAAUUCUCAGACAAAUCAUUAGAAUAUGUUCACUCAGUUUUAGAAAGUGUUUUAUCUCCCGUCACCCUUUCUCUCAUAGUAUUUUUAGUAUUACUCUGUUACCACAUUCUAAACUUUAUAAUUUUCCUACAGUAAGGCUUUAAGAAGCACAAAUAAAUUUGUAGAUUCUUCCUUCUUCAAUAUGCUCUAAUUUUUCAAUAUUUAAUGUCUCCAAUAUACACACGCAAAAAGGCUUUGGAAACCACUAAUUCCACAAUUAAAGGAAAUUAAUAACUUCAAUAAGAACCUGAACUAGCCUAUUAUUUGCUAUAAUCAACUGAUGUUUUAAUAUGUUCUGUUAAUAAAAUGGUCAAAAUAUCACGUGAUUAAAUUGUUAUGAGUACAUACCUUAUGUUUAAAAUUAGCAUAUUUACAGUGAAUUGAAAUAAUUUCUUUUUCUCCCUUUCCUCCCUCUGCUCUUCUGCCUCCUCCCCUUUCUCUUCAUUCUCCUCCUCCUCUCUUUCUUCCUCCCUAUUAUUAUUAAAUAAUGAAGUCUCUGGGGAACUCAGUUGAUUUUCUUGGAUCUCUGUCAAAAAACAAUUUGACUAUUUUUUACUUGGACAUCCUGAAUAGAAAGUACAUGGAAAAAGUAGUAAAAAGUAAAGGGAUAGAGCAGAGGACAGGGAUAUGUGAUACGAUGGUUCUCCUGGGUUAGUCUAAACUUGCCCCAUUCCAGGCAUAGCCAGCGUUAUUUUUAGUCCAAAGAGCCUAUAAAGUUAGUAUAUUUAGCCAUUAUCUUUAAUUUCUAGAAUUUCAAAUGAACUAGAAAUCAAGAUUCUUCAUUUUUACCCCUGAACUUGACACUAAUUAUAUACCUGACAUGGACAAACAGCUGUAGACUGUCCAGAUUUCAGCCUCCUUGCAGGAAGGGCCUGACUAAAUACUUUUUAAGGUUCUUCCGAUGUCUUCUAAAUAAAAGGAAGCAUCUCGUAGAAAAUAGAAGCAAUGAGAGAAAAAGGCAACAAAACCCUAGACUAGGAAGAAUCCCAAUUAGUCCGCGGUAACCUCUGCUCUGUCAUGAUUUUUAAAACCUCUGUAGUUUUACCACCUUUGCUUUAUAGUUUUCCUUCCUUGCUGUCAGUCAGUCCUUUACAUCCUUAUUCUUUUCUCAUUGUGACCAAUUUUUUUUCUUACACUGAGUUCCCACGCUACCAAUAAUUCUAACAAGAACUAAACCUGCAAGGACAACCUUAUCUAUUGAGCUUAAUCAGCACGAGAGUGUGAGGUCCACUGAUCACUCAUUAUUUCUGAACCCUUCUGUCUCUCCAGCCUUGUUCCUUGACAGUCCGGAUCCACUAAUCCCUACUAUCCCUCUUUU